GCAGUCUGGUCAUCAACGAAGAGUUUUGACACCUGUAAUACCCAUAUUUCUACCAUUCACCUCUGUAACCUUUGUUGAGUUCAUCAGACUGUCCAAGACAGGAAGUUGAGGAAUAAAGUUGACAGGACAUCCUGAACUGUCCUCGCUACCAGCUUAUGAGGGAACCAGCUGCAGUGGACAAAGUACGUUACAUCAUAGGAUAAUAGCAUUGAAUUGGAUUCUUGAACCAGAGCCAUGUGAACCUGGUCCACCUGUACCUCUCAUUGAAGACCUGUUAACAUCACCAGAGUAUGUUCAUUCUGAUACCCCUAUGGUAUGGUUACAGCAUGCAUUAUCCCUGAAUCCAUUAAAAGAGCUGCAUUGGCAACGAAACAACCCAAUGUGGUCGAUUGUAAGGAAAUAAAGCAUAUCAGCUUCCAACUUUGGUGCAGUUCUCAGUUCUAAGCAAAGGCGAUUGACAUUGUCACUGAAGAAACAGCUGAUGUCGGCUUACAAUCUGGAGUCCAUCAAGGCUGUUGCAUGGGGUAUCACUCAUGAAGAUGAUGCUUUGAGAAAGUAUGAAAAGGACUUUGAUGCAGCUGUAGAGCAGUCAGGAUAUGGUUGCAUGAAUCCAGAGUGUUGGGAGCUUCACCUGAUGGCUUAGUUGUUCGACCACCAACAUGCAGUGUAUUUUAUCAAACUCCAGAAGCCAAAGACGCCAUUCCUGAUAUUGUAGAGGUGAAGUGUCCAUAUACAGCAUCGUCUUCAACAGUAGCAGAUGGGGCACAAAAUUUGAAGGAUUUUUCAUAGAUCUUAAACAAGAUACCCUGUGCCUGAAAACCAGUCACCCAUACUAUCAUCAAAUUCAAGGCCAGCUACACAUAUGUAACAAAACAUUCUGCGACUUAAUUGUGUGGACAAGAGUAGACUGCAUUGUGAUUAGAAUAGUAAAAGACAUUGAAUGGACAGCAAAUGUUCCAAAGCUGAUAGAUUUCUACAUUAACAUUUUCAUUCCAGCACUGAUGGAAAACUGAGUUCUGGUUUGAACUUCUUGACACUUAGUUUUGUACCUCUAGAAUUUUCUAACAAUGGAAAAUGGGUAAUCAUGUUAAAUGUGUUGAAUGUUCCUAAGUCUCAUAAAUGUAUGACAUGAUAUGUCACAAUCCAUCAUAAAACUUCUGGCUUAUAAGACUAUUUUAAAUAGCAAUGAUGAUUAAUAAAAUCUAUGUACUACAUAAAAAAAGAAUAUCAAAAUUUAGAAUCAUUUUAUUAAUGAAUUGAAGAUGUUAUUCUCAAAGUGAAAAUGUAACAUUUUUGUCUUUCUUAAUAGAUAAAUUGUUGAAAACAUGAA